AAUAUGUAUACGUCGCUCCAUAUUUUCAUUGUUAAGCCU
rnacentral:sRNA from 1 species